AUUGAACGCUGGCGGCCGGCCUAACACAUGCAAGUCGAACGAGUGGCGGACGGGUGAGUAAUGUCUGGGAAACUGCCUGCUGGAGGGGGAUAACUACUGGAAACGGUAGCUAAUACCGCAUACCAUCGGAUGUGCCCAGAUGGGAUUAGCUAGUCUGUGGGGUAAAGGCUCACCUAGGCGACGAUACCUAGCUGGUCUGAGAGGAUGACCAGCCACACUGGAACUGAGAGACGGUCCAGACUCCUACGGGAGGCAGCAGUGGGGAAUAUUGCACAAUGGGCGAAAGCCUGAUGCAGCCAUGCCGCGUGUAUGAAGAAGGCCUUCGGGUUGUAAAGUACUUUCAGAGGGGAGGCGUUACCCACAGAAGAAGCACCGGCUAACUCCGUGCCAGCAGCCGCGGUAAUAC
rnacentral:rRNA from 1 species